GAUGAACGCUAGCGGCAGGCUUAAUACAUGCAAGUCGAGGGGCAGCAUGGGUAGCAAUACCUGAUGGCGACCGGCAAACGGGUGCGGAACACGUACGCAACCUUCCCAUAACUGGUGAAUAGCCCUCCGAAAGGAGGAUUAAUACACCGUAACAUAAUAGAGUGGCAUCACUUUAUAUUAUAGGCUUCGGCCGGUUUUGGAUGGGCGUGCGCCUGAUUAGGUAGUUGGCGGGGUAACGGCCCACCAAGCCUACGAUCAGUAACUGGUGUGAGAGCACGACCAGUCACACGGGCACUGAGACACGGGCCCGAUCCUACGGGAGGCAGCAGUAAGGAUAUUGGUCAAUGGACGAAAGUCUGAACCAGCCAUGCCGCGUGGAGGAUG
rnacentral:rRNA from 1 species